rnacentral:rRNA from 1 species
UACGUAGGUGGCGAACGUUAUCCGGAAUCAUUGGGCGUAAAGGGUGCGUAGAUGGCCUGAUAAGUUAGCAGUGGGAAAUCGAGGCUCAACCUCGUGGAAGCUGGUAAUACUGUUAGGCUCGAGUGCAGGAGAAGUUAACGGAACUCCAUGUGGAGCGGUAAAAUGUGUAGAUAUAUGGAAGAACAUCAAUAACGGCGAAGGCAGUUAACUAUUCUGUUACUGACGUUGAGGCACGAAAGCGUGGGGAGCAAACAGG